CUGAACUUAUGAUCCACCCACCUCGGCCUCCCAAAGUGCUGGGAUUACAGGCGUGAGCCACUGCGCCCAGCCUCAUGAAUGAUUUUAAGAUCAACAACUGGCCAUACAUCCAACAAGUAAAUUAGGAACUUAAAUUCCUACAAAGAAGUAAUAUUCACUAGCAGUAUGACUGAAUUUUGGAAGAUAGUGUGCAGUGCAAGCUUUUAUCCUGGAAAGACUAGCUCCAAAGGAACUUCACAGAGUGGAAUUUUUGGUGAAUUACCAUUGAUCAGUCAACCUCAAAGAUGUAGAAAAAAGAUCCGUAGAUCAAGCAGACCCUUAGAGACAGAGUAGGAAUAAUAAAAUUGGCCCCAAACUGAGGUGUAAACUAAAAUGCUUGUUUGCUUACCAAAGGGACUAUGUCUUUGUAGUGAUUCAAGUGCUGGGUCCCUUUCUGAGAAUUGAGGAGUCCAGAAAAACAGAUUAACAGUUAAAUGGUUAUUUGUGAACAUAAAAAUAGAGCCAGGGAAAGUGUAUCAUUUUGAGGAUUGCCUUAGCCAUGGUCCUAAUGAGACCUCAUGAAUCCUCAUGUCUUCCUCAAGAGAAAUCACUCAGAAUGUUUUUUUGCCUCAGUCUUUUGGUUAUACUUCCUGAAGUAUACUAACUAUAGUAAGGAGAGAGGUGUAAUGCUUCUUCAUAAAUGAGGAGAAGAGUGUUUGAGCAGAGGGAAUGUGGAAAAGGAGAAUGGUAAUGGAAUAUUUGCCACAGGAACCCUUUCAGGUAGGUCAGUUUAGUAAAGAAUGCAAGAAGUUGAAGAGCUGGAGAUUGAGUCACUUAAAAUGAUCUAUACCUGUAUAUCCCUUUAAAGGUGUUUAUGUACCCUAGAGCCCACGAAUAUACAUUCCUUAGUUUGAGGAAUUAUGGCAUUUGUUUUUAUCUUUGUAGAUAUUGGCUUACUUUCUUGGGAUUUUCAUUCAUACAAUAAAUACUUAUUCAUUGUCUAUUUACUAGAAUACUGUGUUUUGUAUCUGAUUUCCAGGUGCUUGAUAAAUAUAUGAAUUGAAUUGAAUAUUUGUUGAACAUGCCUAUUAAAUAGAUUUCCAAGCUAGUUCCUUCCAUAAUUUUUGUAGUUAAAUGGACUUUAUAUGUCUUGCCAUGAGACCUAUUUGAAAUAUUCUUUUGAUAAGAAAAUGCUAUCUGAGUAGAAAAUGGUACAGAUAACAUAUUUAGGAAUGGGCAAGGAUCUUCCUGUGUUUGGGUGAAAAAGAUAGCUGUACUUGAACACUAUCCCUCUUUCCCAUAAAGUGUGCUCUUAUGUCAAAACCAGUGAUUUUUCCUUCAGGAAUAUAAGUGUAUUUUCUGUCAACUUCAGAAAAAAAUUGUAGUAACCUAAAGAAGAGACUUUCUUUUUGUGCUAGAGAUAACAUGGGACAUACUUUAGGGUAGUAUAUCAUAAACAUAACUUACGGUCAUCUACAGAUAAUGAAUAUGAUAAUGUUAGAUGCACAUUCAACAAAGAGAGGGAACAAGAUAACUAUGUAAAAAAUAAGGAAGGAAAAUAAAGAUGUGGAGAGACAUUUAUUAAAGGCUCUACUGUAUUUCAUAAUGGUUGGAUUCAUUAGCACAUUAUUUUAUUUCAGAUAAGCAUGGAUAUAGUGGGCAAGAUUGACUUUGGAAGGCUGUAUUGAGCUCUUAGAGAACUGUCGAGGGAGAAAGUUUGAUUUACACAUGUACAUAAUUUUGUUAGGGGGCAAGAAAGGAAAUAUGGAAUGAUGUUUCUCCAGAUGUUUCUUCAUUUUGGCCACUAGAUGGUGACGUUGUAUAAAGACAGCUUGGUUGUAGAAGGUGAAAUACUCAAAAUUUGGUGUGGGAUUGGGUAUCUAUAUUUAACAAUUAAGCCCAAGAAUAUCACUUAAUUUUUUUAUAUUCAUCAUUCAGCCUUGUAGCACAUUUUUGGUAAAUUUAUUGAACUUCUCUUUUUGGUAUUUAAUUUAUAUGUAUACACUGUCCUGAAGUAUUUUGUUAAUAUCUCUGUGCCUAGCAUAUUUGGUGAUGAUAAACUAUAUAUGAUAAACAAAUACUUAAACAAAUGCCGCCUGCCCUCCAAAAAAUCACAUAGCAAAAAAAACUUAUUGAUGUAUAUGAUGUGACUAAGAAACAUAUUUAAGAUACAUUAAACAAAAUAGAAAUUUA